CGGCGAGUGAAGCGGCAAUAGCUCAAAUUUGAAAUCUGGCUCCUUUUAGGGGUCCGAGUUGUAAUUUGCAGAGGGUGCUUUGGCGUUGGUAGCGGUCUAAGUUCCUUGGAACAGGACAUCGCAGAGGGUGAGAAUCCCGUUUGUGGUCGCAUGCCUUCGCCGUGUAAAGCCCCUUCGACGAGUCGAGUUGUUUGGGAAUGCAGCUCUAAAUGGGAGGUAAAUUUCUUCUAAAGCUAAAUACUGGCCAGAGACCGAUAGCGCACAAGUAGAGUGAUCGAAAGAUGAAAAGCACUUUGGAAAGAGAGUCAAACAGCACGUGAAAUUGUUGAAAGGGAAGCGCUUGCAGUCAGACUUGCCCGUAGUUGCUCACCUAGGCUUUUGCCUGGGGCAUUCUUCUGCGGGCAGGCCAGCAUCAGUUUGGGCGGUCGGAUAAAGGUCUCUGUCAUGUAGCUUCCUUCGGGAAGAACUUAUAGGGGAGGCGAAAUGCGACCAGCCCGGACUGAGGUCCGCGCUUCUGCUAGGAUGCUGGCGUAAUGGCUGUAAGCGGCCCGUCUUGAAACACGGACCAAGGAGUCUAACAUCUAUG
rnacentral:rRNA from 2 species